GGGGAUGUAGUUAAUAAUAACAUUUAAUUUGCAAUUAAAAAGAACUAAUUUUUAGUCUUCCUC
rnacentral:tRNA from 1 species